CUCCCUGCCUCUCCCUUUUUCGUCUCUCGAUCGGAUCCGCACUCGCUGUACCCCUCGCUAGAUAUAGAACCUACCCCUCGCACCGCAGCCUUCGAUGAUGGUGGAGAGGACGCGCCGCCGCGGAGGAGGAGGAGGAGCAGCAGCAGCAGCAGCUGGGCCCCGCAUCCCUUCGGGUUCCCUCGGCCCCCCGUGUUUCCCUCGCCCCCCUCCCUCCCUCGUCCGAAUUGGGGGGCGGUGCCGCCGAGCUGGCCUCGAGGUACUUCCCCUUUGGGUGUUCCGGUUGGUGUUCGCUGGAUGGGGUCGUCGCGUUCCGUGAUUCUUGCACCCGAUUGCCGGCUCGUUCGUUUGAUUGCGUGCUCCUCCCGUUCUCUCGGUAAAACACUUAUCAGCAUGGCAAGCCAACUUUGAUUGAUGGGGAUGUAUUAACUUGGUAUCCUAACCCAGCAAGAAUCUCCUAGGAUAUUGACUCAUGGCUAGGAAGGGCAAUCAGCAGAAGAAUGGGGUUAGUCAUUCCUCACAGAAUGGCAAAAAGAAGGGUUCAGAAACACAUCAAGAAAGAAGACAAGCUACUGACGUGAAGAUUCCUCCUAAAGAGAUAACUGUGAACAGUCAUCACUCGAGCAACGUGUCGGCUGAGAGCAUGAGUCAAGGAACUGGGAAACUAAUGAGUAUGGAUAAACAAGGGACAGAUGCAGCUCAGGGAUUAGAGCACCCAGUUCUGUCUGGGGAAUCUUCAGGGGAUUAUAUUCAAAAUGCAUCUCCUAUGGGCAUGUCCCACAAGAGAGAACAAGGUGGACUACAUUGUGAUAAUAAUUGUCAAAAUAGCCGAAAAGGUGGCCUGGGCUGCAAGCUGAAUGGGCAUAUAACAAAUCUAAUAGAAAAUGUCCACAUAUUUGACAAUUUAGUUGUUAGAAAUGUGAGAAGAUCAGUUUUGUGUGUCCUAAAGGCAGCUGGAGAGUGGCUAGAGUCACAAAGACCUUUUGUCAUUAAUUUAAAAGGUGACAUACUAAAGGCUCGUGACUAUGUCAAAGUGAAGAUUGAGCUGGCCUACCAGGUUGUUUUGAAAUGGCUUGUAUACUUUGGGAACAUAAUGUUUCUCUUAUCAAUGGUUUGGUUGGAUUGCACUCUUAGGGGAAUCGAUUCUUUCCUACAUAUGGGGACUACAUCUUUCUUUUCUAUCAUAUGGUGUGGAAUUUUCUCAGCUAUCGCUAUGGUCGGCAUGGUAAAGUUUCUUGUGGUCUCGGUAAGUCACUCAUCACUUUUUUUCCUUUUAGGUCGAAAAGUCACUCAUCACUUCACAAGCUACUUUUAUUGACUUCCUAUUGUAUUGCUGGUUCAAGUUAUCCUUUCCCAUCCUGACAUGACCUGUUACCCUGGAUCCAUUCAUGUUUGUAUGUCAAUAUUUCAUCCUGAACUGAGCUUAUAAAUAUGUGCAACUCCUCCUUCUUCCUGUCAAAGUAGAAGAAAUCAAAAUAAGCAUAGAGUAUUACCUGUUGUCACUUCCAAACUCCUUGGAGCCACACGGUAUUGUUGCUGGAUUUUAUCUAGUAAGAUACACAUCCUCUUUUGUCUAUGUUCCUAGAAUUCAUUCCUCAGUUGCUCUUUCUGAAAUGUUCAGAAUAACUCUAUUAAUCACACUUUGCUUCUGCUGCAUUCCUUUUUACUGACUGAAGUUUGCAUUCAUUCAGGUGCAAUGAUGUUCUUGUGGGUAUUUUUGUGGGGUUUACCGCUGCACUUUUGCUGCUUGCACUUUGUGGCACUGUCUUCUUGUGGUUUUAUGGAAGUUUUUGGACAACAGCUCUUGUAAUCAUCCUUGCAGGUAAUGGCUUCGAGGCUUUCUCUUAAAGACUUAACUCGAUGUCUGCUAUUAAUGUGCUUUUGAGUUUGUAAGCUUGCUUAGAUCCAAUAUUCAUGUACAUGCAGGUAUAUCAUUCACAUUGAGCCAUGAACGCCUUGCAUUUUUCAUAUCCUCACAAUCUAUGCCGUGUACAGUCAUUAUGUAUCCUUUAGAAGCUGAAUAUAUUAACAUUUAAUGUGGAAACAAUGUCACUAAUUUUGUGUCUAAUUCCAGACAAUUUAUGUUUUGUAGAAGAACAACUUUGAGCAAUUCUGCAUAAGUUAUGCAAAUGAGAGGUUGCAGCAACAUUUCAACCGGCAUUUGUUAAAACUGGAGCAGGAAGUGAGCAUCUCACAUGGACCGUGUCUUUAGUUUUGUUCAACAUUUAUAUGAUGGGUGUUGUCGCUAAAAGCAGGAUAUUCUUUUUUUAUUCAUUUCUGUCGUCAUUAUUUAUUGUGCAAAGAUUAGUUAUUGUGCAAGAUUGUUUAUUCUCUCAUUAUGUGUACUAUAAAGAAAAAAAUUUAU